GUUUUCUUGAGAGAUGGGCGGACUCAUGAAGCUAUGUCAUUCAAAGAAUCUCGUAGCGAAUCAAUUGGCGCAGCUUAUGAUGAAGCACGAAAUAAAUCUUUCCAUCGAGCCUUGUAUGACGCCUUUACGUUUUUUUGGGAAUUUAUGAAGAUAAUGGAGAAGCUGAGUAAUAAAAAGGUGCAAAGAAUGGUCAAGCAGCAACAGUU